AUGCACACAGCCGCAUCAAGCUUUCUCCAUCUAUUCCUCGCACAGCACCCUUCUUCUUCUUCUUUUCAUGGUUGUCGCUUCUCUACUUCAAACAUCAUCGCACCCAACCGGCAACCCAACAACGAAAGAAGCCUAGGCCCUCCUUACAAAAUGGUGUUGUCUCUCACCAAAUAACCAAAACUACUACUCCGACCAUCAUCCAAACUGUCUCACGAAUGACGUUGGCUCUCACCUUUCAAACCGAGAAUUCUAACAUUCUUUACUUCGCAUUGAAACAGCAUUCGACCGGGUAAGUUACCUAAUCCUAACCAAAACAAAACUAAUACGCAAUUUUCAUCUAACACCCAUUUUUCUAUCGUUUGCUUCCGAUCUAAACCUUGGGAUUACGAAAACGCUAGUGGAAAGCUCAAAGGACUUUCCUCGCCAUUCUCCCUUUCACUCUCACGAUUAACCUUAAACCAUCAUGUACACGCCUAACCGAAAAAGGGCUUUUAGUUUUAGUUCAUGUGAAGGUAUGACUCCAGUGAGGAUUCAAGAUCCCCUAAGGUCCCGUGAAAUGCUGAAGAUGGCAUUAUUGGCGUGAGCAUGGAUCUUGUUCGGUGGGUUUACACUUUGUAGUUUGGGUAUCCGAAUUUGCUGAUUUAGUCUUGAAUUGUUCCAAGCCUACUGUAAUAUGUAUUUUUUAAUUCGGGCCUAGUUUGGGCUUGUUGUACAACCUGUAAGAAAGAGAACAUAAAUGAUAUUAAUACUAAUAUAAUUGUUAUAAUAA